rnacentral:rRNA from 1 species
CAGUAGCCACGGUAAUACGUAGGGUGCAAGCGUUAAUCGGAAUUACUGGGCGUAAAGCGUGCGUAGGCGGUUCGUUAAGUCUGUUGUGAAAGCCCCGGGCUCAACCUGGGAAUGGCAGUGGAUACUGGCAAGCUAGAGUGUGUCAGAGGAUGGUGGAACUCCCGGUGUAGCGGUGAAAUGCGUAGAGAUCGGGAGGAACAUCAGUGGCGAAGGCGGCCAUCUGGGACAACACUGACGCUGAGGCACGAAAGCGUGGGGAGCAAACAGGAUUAGAUACCCCGGUAGUCCCUGUCUCUUAUAC